rnacentral:rRNA from 1 species
UACAGGGGGUGCUAGCGUUGUUCGGAAUUACUGGGCGUAAAGGGCGCGUAGGCGGCCUUCUAAGUCGAACGUGAAAUCCCCGGGCUCAACCCGGGAACUGCGUCCGAGACUGGAAGGCUCGAAUCCGGGAGAGGGAUGUGGAAUUCCAGGUGUAGCGGUGAAAUGCGUAGAUAUCUGGAGGAACAUCGGUGGCGAAGGCGGCAUCCUGGACCGGUAUUGACGCUGAGGCGCGAAAGCCAGGGGAGCAAACGGG